CUGCAGCCAAUUAAACUGACUGUGCACUUCGUCUGUGGGGGCCCAGUGUGCCAUGGCUGCAAACAGUAGCCUCCUCUGUAGUGUAUGCAGCCUGUUGAUUAUAUGGGUUUCCCUAAGAGACCUUGAAGACAGCC
rnacentral:snoRNA from 1 species